rnacentral:rRNA from 1 species
GAGUUUGAUCGUGGCUCAGAUUGAACGCUGGCGGCAGGCUUAACACAUGCAAGUCGAGCGGGGAGGUUGCUUCGGUAACUGACCUAGCGGCGAACGGGUGAGUAAUACUUAGGAAUCUGCCUAUUAAUGGGGACAACAUCUCGAAAAGGGAUGCUAAUACCGCAUACGCCCUACGGGGAAAGCAGGGGAUCACUUGUGACCUUGCGUUAAUAGAUGAGCCUAAGUCGGAUUAGCUAGUUGGUGGGUAAAAGGCCUACCAAGGCGACGAUCUGUAGCGGGUCUGAGAGGAUGAUCCGCCACACUGGGACUGAGACACGGCCCAGACUCCUACGGGAGGCAGCAGUGGGGAAUAUUGGACAAUGGGGGGAACCCUGAUCCAGCCAUGCCGCGUGUGUGAAGAAGGCCUUAUGGUUGUAAAAGCACUUUAAAGCGAGGAGGAGGCUCUUCUAGUUAAUACCUAGGAUGAGUGGACGUUACUCGCAGAAUAAAGCACCGGCUAACUCUGUGCCAGCCGCCGCCGUAA